GAAGACAGACAGAGGGAGACACAGAAUCCAAAGCAGGCUCCAGGCUCCGAGCUGUCAGCACAGAGGCCAACGAGGGGCUCGAACCCAUGAACGUGAGAUCGUGACCUGAGCCCAAGUUGGAUGCUUAACUGACUGAGCCACCCAGGCGUCCCUUUUUCUACUUGUCUAAAUCUUUCCAACAUUUCACAGGAAUUUGCAUUACUUUUGGAAUCAGAAAAAUUGCUUGUAUAUAAAGAUUACACAUUGAUUCUAUUUAAAAAUUUUUUUAAUGUUUAUUUGUAAGAGAGAGAGAGACAGACUGUGAGCUGGGGAGGGGCAGACAGAGAGGCAGACACAGAAUCUGCAGCCCGUUCCAGGCUCUGAACUGUCCGCACAGAGCCCCGCACAGGGCUUCAACUCACAAACAGUGAGAUCAUACCCUGAGUUGAAGUCAGACACUGAACUGACUGAGCCACCCAGGGGCCCCAAGAUUAAACAUUGAUUCUAAAUAAGGACUGGCUAACACGAUUCAGAAGGAUGGUCUUGAAAACCUGAUUGGGAGGACUAAAUACUUCGGAGGCAGAAGUGACAAACAUUUGGGCUAACUGGAUAUGGGAGAAAGAAGGAGGCAAGAGUCAAAGAUCUGUAUUCUGCCUCACUCCCUUCUCCUUGGCAGCAGGUGGAGCAAUCCUAUUAAAAUAAAAUCCAGAUCAGUUUCCUCCUCUGCUCUAAACCCUCCAGUGGCUCCCACCUGACUCAGAAUAAAAGCCAGAAUCCUUAGCCACUUACAGGGACCCACAUACCGAACUUAGGGUUAUCCCUGCCAUGGUGGUCUUACCCUCUCCUUCCUUCUGCCCUCUGCUUCGACUGCCUCACUGUGCUGAACACGCCCCAGGACCUUUGUACCUACCAUCUCCUUGCCUGCAAUGCGUUGUGAAAUCUCUGUGUUUUGCUCCCCUCACCUAUUCCCUUCUCACCGAGGCCUUUUCCUGGGUACCCUCUCCAAAACAGUCCCCUGGCACUCCCAUCCUUUUGUUGCUUAAUAUUUAUCCCUAGCACACAUCAUAACUAUACAUUUUACUUACUUGUUUGGUUUUUGUCUCCUCCAUUAGCAUAUAAAUUGCAGGAGGGCAGGGGUUUUGUUUUGUUCACAGCUCCUGGCACGGUAUUAAUACUGAGUAAAUGCUUGUUGAAUCUAAAUAAAGAACUCAAGUGUUCCAUUUACCUCCAGGGAACAUCAGAUCUGCCAUCACUUAGUAAAAGGCAUUUGGUGGCUUGACUCUUGUCAAUCGUAAAUUCUCUUGGUUCCUUUAAAGUUAGAGUCCAUUUUUAAGGAUUCCAUUUCCACGUGAUUUGUUGGUUUGUUUUCAGGAACAUCACUCUGUUCGUGGCUUCCAGGCUGAUGUCCCCACCUCACCAGGGUAAGCUGCACUUGGGCUCGCUCACUGGUGUCCCAAGCUGUGGAGUGCCAGCCUAGGAAACAUACUACCUCCUGGCCAGAUUGGCUGGGACCCCUGGAACCCUGGCCAUUGAGAGCUACUGCAUUGGAUGGAAGGUUCUGGAGUCGGUGGAGACCCUCUCUCCUCUCCAGGCCCUAGCCUGAUGUCUUCUUUGCACCUAAUGGGUUUUUUAAUGAAAACAACAUGAGCCAAGCAGUAAAAUGGGAAGGGUUUAUCCCCACCCCCCUGCCCCCAGUCUCACCCACUAUAGAUAAACCAAGGGAACACCAAAUGACCGUUCUCUUUUUUGCUAAAGAGAAAUUUGGAAAAUGCAGGCCCUGGACAAUCUAUGGGGAGUGAAUCUACACAUGCAUUUUGCUCUAGGAGCAGAGUCCAGAGUUUAUUGAAUGAGUUGCUCUGUUCCCAUAUGGCCCACCAGGUGGCUGUAGAAUAUCACGGAUGGGCCCAGCAAGCUGGGCUGGGCUGAAGAAGGCCAGGACAGCCGGCCAGGACAGCCAGGCACUGCCCAGAGACCCCUGGCCCACCUUCAGGCAGGGCUGUUCUGUGUUUUCCUACAGGGACGCCAGACGAGGAUGUCGGCCCCUGAGACUUUCCUAGGAGAAGCAUGGCUAACACCGUGGAGUGUUUCCACGGCCAGGAGCUAGCUAGCUGCUCUGUGUAUCUCAUCUGCUUUCUCUCUUACUCUUGAGAGCCAGCCUCUGAGGGAAGCAUGGUCAUUGUCUCCAUUUCUCAGGUGCGUGGGUACCCGCGGGCCACACCGGUGACCACACGGCCCCGCAGAAAACAGGGGAAGGCACUGCACAGCCAGCCACUGGCAAGGCAGGGUUGAGGGGAAAGCACUGCUUCUGGUCCUUCGGGCAAAUUACCUACCACAUCUGAGGCCAGUUUCUUUAUCAGUGAAAUGAAGGUAACAUCUGCUUACCUGCUAGUGGGUGCUAGUGGGACCGGCUGGAAUUCAUGAAACCCCCAUGAUCAAGAAAACAAUAGAUCAAGUUUGCUCAUAUCUGGGAGCUCAUACCCCCCUCCCCCCACGGCCGCUUGUGAGCUCUCAGUGUGACAUUGCUGAGCUGAGUCAUGAAGACAGGUGCUUCUUCCCGGUAGCUGGUGUUGCCAUCGUUCAGACAGCAGGGAAAAACGGAAGAGUGUGGAUUAACGGUGAAACACGGUAGUAAUGACUGAGUUUUGAUGACUGAUUGCCUUUGUUUUUACCGAAGUUCAUUAAUUUUAGUAAUGAUUGUAUUUAACAGCAAAAUUCUGAAAAUGGGGCAGUGGGUUCUUGCGGGUGAUGCCAAGCUGGCUGCAGCAGGUGUGGCCACAGGGACCCUACACCGAGGGCAGCUCUGCCCCCCAGGAUGUCCGGAGGAGAGCCAGUUGCCGGGUGUCCUCUGAGGCCCUGUGGGGUCAGGUGGUUGUUAGGGCCCUUGAAAGCCAUGAACGACCUAUCCUUCCUCAUCCUCCACAUUCCCGCCUGGCGAGGAAGCCCAUCAGGAAGCCGUCCUGACUGGCAGGCUGGAGACCAGGCGUGAAUUUGGGGACAUGAGGGAGAAUGUCACUCUGUUGCCCCACUCUCGCACACAAGGGCACCCUACUAUCCUCCUAGUUUCCUCUUAGGACAUGGCUGGGACUGGAGUCCCAGACUGGGGACACCCAUUACUGUUUUGGGGGUGUGUGUCUUUGGGCCAAGUAUUCUCCUGAGUCUCUGAGCCUCAGUUUCCUCAGAGCACAAUGGGGAUGCUCUAGCCAAUGGCUGUGAGGAGAGGGAUGGAGAGGAGGCAGCUCACAGCUGCACCCUCCACAGAUCCCAGGGGCUGGGGUAGUUUUUCCCACACCAGAGUUCUUCAUGAGAGCUUCAGGGAGCUGGAAACAUCCUCACAUCUCCAGAUCCCAUGACAAAGAGGAAUGACUUCCGUCUUCCACAAUUCAGGGGUGGGCGCAGCCCCCAGGAGCUGUGCAUUCUCAGCCAGAAGGACUUGCAGGGGAACAAAGUUGACAGUGUUGAGCAGGCCUUCCAGAGUGUUCUGUGAUCAGCCCCAGACUGAGCCUCUUCACUCUUUUUCCGUCUCUGUUUCACUCUUUUCCGCCUGUUUGGGUUUGGUCACUCUGAGCGGUAUGCAGGAGGCAUUUACUGUGGGGAAUCAGGCCACAUGCGGUUGUGGGAGCUGGUGAAGAAGUCCAGGGAAGGCUGUGCCUCUGGGUGGGCAGGGCUGGCUGUUGUAGAGAAAAGCAGAUGUGAAUGGGGGCAAGGAGAGGCUGGAAACCACGGGCACAGAGUGGCCCUGAGUCUAUCACCUCCCACCUCUGUGACGUGGUGACCUGGUGGAGCUGGCUGCACACAUACCUAGUCCGGGGCUCGGAACCCAUCGAUGAAACAGAGGCGCCACUGGAUGGUUUCUGUCCAAGCCAACAGUGGGCACCGGCCACCCAAUGACACUGUGGGAGCCACAAAAGCACCCAGCUUAGCCAAGUUGAUGUGGUGAAAAGCCACCACUGCAAUAUGCUUCUGGAGUACCAAGUGCUUUUGGACCUUCUCAUCGUUCUUCCAGGUUCCUAUGCCUCUGCAUGGAGUGUUUGCUCCAGCCAUGGCACCAGGAAAACUCCUACAGCACCUUCAAAACCCUGCAGAGACAUCACCUCCUCUGAGAAGAAUUCCCUGACACCUGCCCUCCAGGACUAGUCCUGUACUUCACACAUGGUGACUGCCUCUGUUGUACCUGCGAGAUGCCUCAAGGGGACAAGCUGUGCCUGUUUGACAGCUCAGGGUGGUUCAUUCACGUGCCCAGGAUUGCACAGGGAGAACAGAGUUAGUGUCAUACAGAGCUACAAUUUGAACCCCUGUCGGUGACUCUUCUGAUUCUAAGCCACCGUGACUAGAAAGCUGAGAAAGAUUUGGCCCUUGCCCUUCGGAAACUAUUCAGUGGAGGGGAAAGAGAGCUGCAGUGUAGUUAGUUAGGCAGCUGGUGAAAUUACCAACAGAGACUCCAGGGGUGGCCCCAAGGCUGAAGUCACAGCACUGUGCUCCCCAGAGGGUCUCCAGGCUGCUCCAGGCCUGGCCGGUAGGAGGGUGAGGACCCCCUCCCUCCAGCAGCAGCUGUCAGGGAGCUUGGUUCCAGCUGACUCCUCACCGUGUGGCUUCGGGCAAGUCCUACUCCUCGUUUGGAAGAGACGGGCCUGGGACGGGUGGCUAAGAUUCCUCAUUCACUCACCACCAUCUGGCAUUGCAGGUGGUUGUCUGGAUUGGGCAUUUCUUAUGUUAUUCCACCAGAGGGCGCCAAAUCCCAGCUCCUGCCAAGUUGGUUCUCUCAAAAAGGGGUGGUUUUGGGAUGUGAGCUCAGAGGAGGUGAUGAGUGAGAGCUGUGUGUGUGGGUUUGUGUGGAAACAAUUAGGGGUGCGUGUGUGCAUGUGUUUGCAUGCAGCACCAGAGUUUUUUUCCAACUGUCUACAUCUAUUACCAUCACCCCUACCCUGCCGAGUUCAUCUCCAGCUUUUUGCUGCCUCCCUUGCUCAGCUCUAGCCACACAGGCCCGCUAGCGCUGCCUCCAACACUCCCUGCAAGAUCUGGCCUCAGGGCCUUUGUGUGUGCUGUCCCUUCAGCCUGGAACACUGACCGCCUAGACAUCUCUAGGAACCUCCCACAUUCCCUCUCAGUGAGGCCUUUCCUAGCCCUCCCAUAAAAAAAGUACCUCCGAACCCAUUCCAUGCUUUACUCUUCUUUAGAAAAACUACACAACACAAUCUACACAACAAAAUGUCACCUAUUUAACCAUUUUUCCAGUUUUGCAGUAUGAAGUCCCUUCUCAUGGUGGUGCAACCAUGUCCGCCAUCCAUCUCCAGACUUUUUUCCAUCUUCCCAAACUGAAACCCUACGUCCACUGAACAAUAACCCCCUACUCUGCCCUCCCCCACCCCCUGGCAAUGGCUGUUCUUUUUGUCUCUGUGAAUCUGCUCCGGCUGUCUCGUAAAAGCCAUAGACUAUUUGUCAUUUUGGGACUGGCUUAUGUCACUCAACAUAAGGUCUUCAAGCGUCAUCCAUGUUGUAGCAUGUGCCAGAAUUUGCUUUUUUAAGGCUGUAUGAUAUUCCAUUAUAUGUAUAUUUAUAUAUUGAUUAUUCAUUUGUUGGUAGAUGCGUGGGUUGCCCCACUCUUGUGAAGAAUGAUGGUAUGCAUGUGCUCUUUUCCAUGCUUUCUGUUUCUGCACAGCACUGAACCUCAUCCAGGCACCCUCCCUUUGCCCCCAACUAGACAUACAAAUGAUGGCAUACAAAAGACACAGGCCAGCUAACCUAGCAUUUUUAAUCUAACAUUGCUUUUUAAAUGUCUAAAAAUGCUCGGGACCUCGAAAUGCUCUUUGGACCAGCUUUAUCAUUUCACUCGUGUCCUCAUCAACGAGUUGAUAAAUCUUUGACAUGUUCAUCCUGUAUUUGUAGGACAGUCCUAUUUUUAACUUUUAAGAAGUUACACCCUGACGUUCCAGAGGUGUCUUUUUCUUUUUUAACCAGGAAUUUAAACAUGCCUUUGUGGGAUGAAAUCGGAUACAUCAGUUCAUGAUGCUCUGCCAGCCAAGCUGGGGCUUCCGGUGUCCUGGGGCCACGUGAACGGAGCAGAGACACCGCCAGCUCCUAUGUUCUCCAGGACCUUCUUGAGCUGUGGCCGCUGCUCCAAAGUCCCAGGCAGCUGAUGCGGACCCGUGUCUGCGGCGCCCACGAAAGACGGUGCUUUCAUGAGAGUGGCUUGCCCUUUCUGAGCCCUUCUGUGAGCCGUGGGAUUCCAAAUGCUCUGAAUGCAUUAGCUGACGCUCACACGGUCCCCAUGAGAUAGACGCCCUUCGGCAGAUGAGGAAGCCAGCCUGGAGGAUCACAGUGCAAGGGGAAGUUCUAGAGCAAAGACGAGAAGGAGGGAUCUGUGUGUGGCAGGAGAGAACAAUAGUACAAGUUCAGACUCUAGGGGCUGUGCUGAAUAUGUACAAGAAAUUUCCUUCCCACGUGGUCCUCACGCCCUGCUGUGAUGGAGGGGGGCAAAGAAUCGGGUCGUGUGCUCCAGAGGGCCCAAGCCAGGGAAGGCGCAGACAGACACGAAGCUCAAACCAGCAAGCGGCCUUGGAAGAGGGAGAGUAAACAGGUCUAAAAGGAGGUGGCCCUUGGUUGUAAACAUUGGUAACAGCCACACCACUGGGUCGAGGGACCCAAGAAGGGCGUGUGGAUGGGUUUCCUCAGCGUGCAGAUGGGGACGUUGGGUGCGAAUGGGGGGGCCUCAGGGGCGGCAGAAGUGAUGGGGGAGGUAGUCGUUUAGUCUGGAACUCUCUGAGGCCGCUGUUCCAUGGUGGGCUCCAGGCCCCGAGGAGCCUGCUCUGGGGAGGGCGUGCACUCCAGGCCUUGGUCUCUGGGGGUCUCCUCCUCUUGUGAACCCAAGGCUGACGGUGGCUCCCUGAAAUGCUCCCGUGUGAGAAGGCAGAGACAGGAUGCGUUCUGGUGCAUCCUGGCUGGACCAGGACGGGUAGACGAAGCUGAGAAUCUGUCCCCGAACCUGAGUCACCAGCAUGUCCCAGCCAAGCAGCAAGAGUGGCUUUUUUGCCUGGGCCCUGUUGGGGAAGGCUGCUCUGUACAUAGUGUUCCCCGUGACCGGGGUGGGGGUGGGGGUAUUCAGAUAUUUACAUAUAUAACUAUAUAUACUGGGAUGCCAGAAGAGACCACCACGUCCUAUGGAUUUCCAAACACGGAGUUACUAACGCUUAACUCCCUCCAUCUGACGCGAGCAGGGCCAAGAAUACACUCCAGGUGAACCUGUACCGAGCUCCGGGAACGAGAGUAUCUGGGUAUGCAGAGCCACUUUCAGUAACAGAAGAGGGAAGAGCGACACAAGACUCUUGAGUCCUUGACUAUAUUGUCAGACACACUACAGUUUGGUAAACUGAGAACUUGGGGCCAUGGUUCUGGCUGAUUCGGGCUGCGUGGGGCUGAGCCUCCUCUGAAGUCCAGGGGUCCUGGACUGUCCAGGCUGGCUCCCCUGCAGAGGGGGCAGCCCCUACUUUAUUAAGGUUUAUACUACAAACUGAGGGUCGACCACUGAUGCCUUUGGAACAUUCGGCUUUCCUGACUCACAGAAACCCUGAGGUACAGAAAUCCCAGGGGAACACACUGCACAGUCAUCUGGGGCUAGUCUCUUGUUCUGAUUCUUUUUUUAUGUGUCUCCCUCCCCGAAAUCCCUCCAACAAAUAAAUACAUGAGCCAGUCCACAUAUGCUCACCGAAUUCCUGUUUCCACAGAUACAACAUAAAUAUCCCAUGUGCAGAGAGCAGGGACUCUUAAUAUUACAAAAUAUAUUAGUUUCUCUUCCCCUGUCUCUGCUGAGGUCAUGAACGAAAUGGAACAAAAAAAAGCAAACCAACCCACACCCACCUACGUGAAAACAAAAUGCUCUUUGGACCAAGAGUAAUUGAAAACUGGCUCAGGAUAAUAUCACUACAACAUCUGCAUGAACUGAGACAGAAUCCACAACAUGAGGCACCUGGUGAGAACACGCAGCAUCUCACCAAGUGCAAGCGCUCUCAGACCCACCAGGCAGCAAGCUGAUGUUUCUAGAACACAUCUGGGGAUGCUUAGGCAUCGUGUGAGGUCAUCCUUGUCUCCUUAGUUUUGUUGUUUACUACUGUUCUGGCCUCUCGAAUCCCAUCCUGCUAUGUGGCCCUGAGCAGAGAGGAAAGCUGGUCUUACCUUGGGCCAGGAAGCCUAACACGACUGCAUCUGCGUUCUCUUCCUCCACGGGAGCAGUCCGUCCUUCCGAGACCCCCAGGAUCUUUGGAAGAAAGUGUGGAGCCCUACUUACGAUUCCAUUCUGGACGCUGAAACCCAGCUGGUAGCGGAGGUCCGGUCUCCUGAUCAACACGGUCGUCACUGGAGGACACCUCACAAUGUUCAGCUUGACCCGGGGCUGAUUCUUCAAACCCUGAAAUGUGAAUGGAGCACAGUGGAGAUGGUGACUGGUAAGGCGGGCAGAAGAGAUCCAAGCAGACAGCACCAAAGGCAAAUGGAGUCCUAAGGAGUCCCAAGGGAUCUUCCAUUAUUUCUGGGACUCAUGAAGCAGACCCACAUACAGGCCGACCGUGCCCAAGCAGGGACAAUCCACUGCUAGCCUGUACCAACUCAGGGCCCAAAGAGCUCACUGACCCCUCACACCUGUGGCCAGUGUGCUCUGUGAGCGCACAGGGCUUGUGGGAGACCUGGGGAGGCUGCUUAAGAAUCAGCCACUCUGUGUUGGCACCCCGUGUGGGCACCCUACCCUCACGGUCCGUCAAAACCCGUACAGCCGAUGAAACCAGCCCGUCACUGAGCGUGGGCUCCUGCUGCCUACAGGAGCUGUCUCCUUCAGUCUCCUUGACAAACUGCAGCUCUAUGUCCAUUCUACAGAAGACACCGAGGCUCAGAGAUUCUAAGCAACUCACCCCGCUUCACCCGCAGCGGGAUCCAACCGGACAUCUGUUCUGUUUUCAAAACCAAGCAUUUCGCCUACACCAUGAUCCCCCCUAAAGACAACGGGACAGCGUGUAUCAUUCAUGAGUAAGGCAUGCUCGACCAAGCAGCCAGGGAGAGCAAUAAAAGAAUGAAUUCGUGCCACCAAAGCUUCUAUUCUGGCCUUGCAUGGGGCCCUGUCGUCAGCUUACUUUCCUACCCAGCUCGAGUCCAGGGCUCCUAACAUCUGACUUCCCCACUGCCUUUGAUGGAUUGCAGUUGGUCCUUUCAACGUGUGAGUUUUGACGGUGCUCAAUUUAACUUCCCACCUCCAGCAUCUCUGCCCGUCUCCUGGGCAUUCUGAAUCGCUGUUUUCUGCCGGAUCGGAGCCUCCCAGGGGCUGCAAUUUGGGUAAUGCUCGGUGCUCACACGCAGGCAGCCCUCGCCAGCCACUCUCUGUGGUUUCUGGAAGAUCUCUGGGAAGCUUCUCUGGUUCACAAAGUGAUGAUGUCCAAGUGCAGCAGCAGCGGACGAGCUGAGAGCCGUUCUCCCCGGGCAAAGUCUGCCAGGGACUGGCCUUCCGCACGACACAGGCCUGCUGUCCACGGGCACAGGGCUCCACAGGGUUCCGAUGCAUCAAGCUGUGUUUCCGCCUCUGCGGCCGGGCGUCUCCGACACUCCGUCCCUCCCUUCCUCCACCUCUGUCUCCACAUCACCCAGAUAAGUGGUGGGUGACACCCGGAGGUCCCCUCCAGCUCUAGUUCUGAGUUCACCCUUUCCACGCAUUCCUUCCCUCAGCGUAUUUGCCAACAACACCACGUCUCGACCAUUAUGCUUAAAAACACCCGUUUCUGCUCAGAUCAUGAUCUCACAGUUGGUGAGAUCGAGCCCCGCCUCGGGCUCUACGCUGACAGUGUGGAUCCUGUUGGGAUUCUCUCUCUCUCCUGCUCUCUACCCCUCUCCCACUCACGUUCUUUCUCUCUCAAAAUAAAUAAACAUUAAAAAAUAUUAAUAAAAAACCAAUUUCCAGAAUUAAAAAUGGGCAUCUUUCAGGAAGGUGGUGCUCAGAUAUUAAUGCGCAUACAGUUGACCUUUGAACAAUGCAGGGUCAGAGGCGCUGACUCCCCGCCCCCCCGCCCCCCCCAACCAAACCGUGCGGUUGAAAAUUCACAUAUAACUUUUGAGUCCCCUGAAACUUAACUACUAACAGCCUACGGUGACCAGAAGGCUUACCAAUAACAUUAACAACACAUAUCUUGUAGAUGGAUUAUACACUGUGUUAUUAUAAUAAAGUAGGCUAGAGAGAAAGCAAAGGUUGUUAGGAAAAUCACAAGUUAGAAAAUACAUUUCCAGGACUGUGCUGUAUUUAUUGAAAAACACCUGUGAUAAAUGGGCCCGUGUAAUUCAAGCCCGUGUUGCUCAAGUGCGUGUCUCUCUCCCUCCGGUGCCUCGUCUUUCUCAUCCACUUGACUAGUCAAUAUUUACUGAUCACUCCCCGAGUGCCAAGGCUGGUGUUAGGCAGCCGGAAGGGCUACAGGCACAGGCAGGGCAACCAGAGGGGCUGGCCCCCUUCCCGCCCUCCACAAUCACACAGCAGGAGACCAGGAAUUUGUUGGAACCAGAGGGAAGUAUGCCCUCAAAACGAGCACACAGAAUUCCAGCUUCAGACAGUGCCACCAGCUUUGAGUGCUUACACCUGUGCACCUCUGGGGUGACGCAGGUGUGCAUGUGAUGCUCAGAGAGCACACCCUGAAAAGCCAGAGAAGGACUCUAUUUUCUCAAUUACCCCAAAAAAGCUCACAUCGCUCCGGUGGGUUCCUUUUUCAUGUGCGUGAAUUGACUGAAGAGGCCUGAUUUGUCCUUCAGUGAACGAAGUUCUAGACUGAGGAAGUGUGCUGCCAGAUGAGGCUUAAAGAGGCGGCAAUUUGGAGUAGCCGGAGAACGCCACUGCUCGCCGUUCCCCAUCAGUGCUCCAAGUGGGGUCCCAUUAACUUGGAUUUCUGAGCUGCCAUUUGAGAGGAAAUGCCAAAUAAACAAGCGGUCAUUGUGUCCCCAUGACAGCAGUGGAAUGCUGUAGCAAAUUAAGAAAUACUGUGGGAGAGGAAGGGAGAGGGGAGAGGGGAAGGGAGGAGACAGAAGCCAGAAUCGUCUCUAUAGUAACAGGAAAGCAGGACCAUGAUCCUGUGGAAGGGAGAGGAAAGCGGUGCUCUAGUUUAAAAAAGAAAAAAUAAUCAGGAGGGCAGGACCACAGAGGCAAGGAACUGCCUAAGGAACUGGCAGGAACAAGGCAAGGAACUGACUGCUAACAAGCUUUGCCUACCAACACUUACGCCUUAGGAAUUAGGACAGGCGACACAGGUGCUAGGGAAGAAAGCAAUGAAAAGGAUUCAUUACCUCUAACUCUUUUCUAGAAAUGUUUCUAUUUUCCUAUAACUGGGGGUGGCGGUGGGGGAAGUCAACAUGCGUUAAAGUGGAAAGACACAGAAUACAUGGUGUAGACCCUUGUUUCUCAAAGGGCUUUGGGAGACUGGUGACGUCAUCACCUGCCAGCUUGCUGAGGGAGAAUCCCACCGCAGACAUGUGCAAUCUGCGUUUCAACAACAGCCCCAGGACUUUCAAUUCAAAGUUUUCUAAGCCGUGAACUAUCCAUCUAUGGAUCCAUCGGGAUGAGAGCUGCUAACUUCGUUGCAAGGUGCACUGGCACAACAGUGAAAUGAGCUACCGACCAGAAGCCCUGAAGAAGCCCAGAAUAUUCCCCUGCGCUGGCCCCACAGGUGGGGUGGGCCAGUGUGAUCAUGUGCUUAGGUGGAGGCA